UCCCUGGUGGUCUAGUGGUUAGGAUUCAGUGCUUCUACCACUGUGACCUGGGUGCAAUCCCUGGUCUGGGAA
rnacentral:tRNA from 1 species